GGAUGUGAGGGCGAUCUGGCUGCGACAUCUGUCACCCCAUUGAUCGCCAGGGUUGAUUCGGCUGAUCUGGCUGGCUAGGCGGGUGUCCCCUUCCUCCCUCACCGCUCCAUGUGCGUCCCUCCCGAAGCUGCGCGCUCAGUCGAAGAGGACGACCAUCCCCGAUAGAGGAGGACCAUUCUUCGGUCAAGGGUAUACGAGUAGCUGCGCUCCCCUGCUAGAACCUCCAAACAAGCUCUCUCAAAGAGUGUUACAUUUAAAUCCUGACAGCCCCUUCCUCCCUCAGGUUACCUAUGUAGGUGUGGCCUUAAAG
rnacentral:snRNA from 1 species